AUCACUUCUUGGACUUUUGGCUAAGAUCAACUGUAUUACCUGUUCUUGUCAGUUAAUAUCUGAUACGCCCUCUAUCAGAGGACAAUAUAUAAAAUGGAUUUGGGGAGCAGGGAGAUGGAAUAGGAACUUGUUCCAUCUACACUACUCAUCAACCUGGUAUUGCAGUAUCUCUGGGAACAGUGCACCCCUU